rnacentral:rRNA from 1 species
UACAGGAGGUCCCGAGCGUUGUUCGGAUUCACUGGGCGUAAAGGGUGCGUAGGCGGCUCGGCACGUCCGUUGUCGAAAUCGCCCGGACUCGAACUGGGCGGGGUCGGCGGAUACGGCCGAGCUGGAGCAAGCUAGGGGUAAGUGGAAUUCCCGGUGUAGUGGUGGAAUGCGUAGAUAUCGGAAGGAACACCAGUGGCGAAGGCGGAUUGACCUGGACGCUUUGGCUGACGCUGAUGCGCGAAAGCGUGGG